rnacentral:rRNA from 1 species
CGUUCCCGGGUCUUGUACACACCGCCCGUCACGCCAUGGGAGCGGGUUUUACCAGAAGUAGGUAGCUUAACCGCAAGGAGGGCGCUUACCACGGUAGGAUUCGUGACUGGGGUG